UAUGUCUCAACCAGCCGUUGCUCCCCAGUUUCUGCCUUUGGAGUUAAUAGACAAGUGUAUCGGCAGUCGGAUUUGGGUUAUAAUGAAGUAUGACAAAGAACUUGUCGGUACUCUUCUUGGAUUUGAUAAAUUUGUAAACAUGGUCUUAGAAGAUGUUACAGAAUUUGAGACCACCAGCGAAGGAAGGCUCAUCACGAAAAUUGAACAAAUUUUAUUAAAUGGAAAUAAUAUAGCGAUGCUCAUUCCUGGAGGCUCUGGCCCACUGCAAUAAUCUUGCCUAGUACUAAAGGUGAGA